rnacentral:rRNA from 1 species
UACGAAGGGGGCUAGCGUUGCUCGGAAUUACUGGGCGUAAAGCGCACGUAGGCGGUUUGUUAAGUCGGGGGUGAAAUCCUGGAGCUCAACUCCAGAACUGCCUUCGAUACUGGCGAGCUCGAGUUCGGGAGAGGUGAGUGGAACUGCGAGUGUAGAGGUGAAAUUCGUAGAUAUUCGCAAGAACACCAGUGGCGAAGGCGGCUCACUGGCCCGAUACUGACGCUGAGGUGCGAAAGCGUGGGGAGCGAACAGG